GAGUCGCAGGGUUGUACGAAACCCGAAGGCGCAACGAAAGUGAAUCGAGUCGUCAGAUUCGGUAGGUGGGAUCCCGUCGUACGGCUUCGCGGCCGAAUGCGGCGGGCGCACCACCGGCCUGUCUCUGCCGCUACGUCGGCGAGACGGAGCAAGAGCGUACGCGUUGGGACCCGAAAGAUGGUGAACUAUGCCUGAGGAGGAUGAAGCCAGAAGAAAUUCUGGUGGAGGUCCGCAGCGAUUCUGACGUGCAAAUCGA
rnacentral:rRNA from 1 species